AGAUACCCUGUUAUUGAAAAAAAUAAAUAUUGAUUUACUAUUUGCUUGGGCACUACGAACACAUGUUUAAAACCCAAAGAACUUGGCGGCACUUUAACCCACUUAGGGGAACUUGUCCUUUAAUUCGAUAAUCCACGACAAUCUUAUUUAUUUUAGAACACUUCAGCUUGUAUACCGUCGUCACAAGUUAACCUUAAAGAGGAUAAAAGUUAACAACAAAGAUUAAGACAAAGGUCUUCUCUCAGGUCAGAUCAAGGUGCAGCUAAUAAAUAAAGACAGAGAUGAGUUACAAUUAACAAAUUUUACAUGGAAUUUUCAGAGAAAAAUGAAAAAGAAACAGGACUUAAAAGUAAUUAAUAAAAACAAAUGUUAAUGAAUAAGGUAAUAAAGUGUGCACAAAUCGCCCGUCACUCUCUG
rnacentral:rRNA from 1 species